rnacentral:rRNA from 1 species
UAGGGAAUAUUGGACAAGGGGGGCAACCCUGAUCCAGCCAUGCCGCGUGAGUGAAGAAGGCCCUCGGGUUGUAAAGCUCUUUUUUCCGGAAAGAAAAGCAUUCGGUGAAUACCCGGAGGUUCUGACGGUACCGGAAGAAUAAGCACCGGCUAACUUCGUGCCAGCAGCCGCGGGAAUACGAAGGGUGCAAGCGUUACUCGGAAUUACUGGGCGUAAAGCGUGCGUAGGUGGUUGUUUAAGUCUGAUGUGAAAGCCCUGGGCUCAACCUGGGAAUGGCAUUGGAAACUGGGCAGCUAGAGUGCGGUAGAGGGUAAUGGAAUUCCCGGUGUAGCAGUGAAAUGCGUAGAGAUCGGGAGGAACAUCUGUGGCGAAGGCGACUGCCUGGACCAGCACUGACACUGAGGCACGAAAGCGUGGGGAGCAAACA